rnacentral:lncRNA from 1 species
GGCAGGGCUUUGUAUGGGUAGAAAAGCACUUUAAAAAUAUUCUUCGGAUGUUGAAAACCAUGGAAGUAACAAAUUUAUAAUACCGAAAGCACCAGAUGACUAACAUUCCUUUUAAAAGCACUUAUGGGAUUAAGUGACUCCACUUCCUUCUGUUAUUCAACUGGAUAAAGGUAUUAAAAUCAAGUUUUACAUUGUGGCUUGUGGGCCCUUAUUAUGCAUUUUACAAUUCCCUACCUUUCUUAUGAUUCCAAAUAAGGAGAAAACUGUACCCAAAAAAGAAGAAAAAAGAAAGAAAGCAAAUUCCACCAUAGUAAACCUCAUAGGAAAGCACAGAAGUGUGUUUAUCCAGCAAUUACAGAACAAGAACUGAAAGAGAUUGAAACUAACUGGGCCAGGAGUGUACCAGUGGGAUCAGAAUGGUGUUAUUCCUGAAGUUUGUUGAGUCAGAGCCUUUCCUUCUAUAAUGUCACUUCUCAUUUUUGCAACUUUCUUUAUUUCUUCUUCUCUUCUUCCCUCCAUCUGUCCCUCCCUCCCUCCUUCUCUCUCUCUCUCUCUCUCUCUCUCUCUCUCUCUCUCUCUCUCUCUGUCUCUCUCUCUGUCUCUCUCUCUCUCUGUCUCUCUCUGUUUUGAAGUACUGAUAAAAUCCACGGCCUUACACAUGCCAGGCAAGCACUUUACAACUGAACCACAUCCCCAGCCCCUACCCAGCUCUUUUAUAAAAGCAUUUCUUGCUAUGUUGUCCAGACUGCCUCAAAUCCUCCCUCCUCAGCCUUCUGAAUAGCUGGCAUUACAGGUGUACACCACCCCACUUGGCUUAAUUUUUGUAACUUUAAAGAUCAUGUUUCGUUCUAUUUAUCAUGCAAGGACCUUGAGACAACUUUCAGAAGUUAGCAUUGGCAUAUUCCUUGACCCAACCUAGGAGCUGAAGAACUAUGGGUAGAUAUCUAUGUGUCUUCUCCUGAGCUGUGAUUUUGGGUGCAAGUGGUCCCUGUUAACUUCAGCCUAGAUUAGGCAAUGAAAGGAACAACACAUUUGGUGUAUGUCAUUUCCAGUCUCUAAUUUACAUUUAUGGGAUUUUAUCAUUUCACAUCAUGAGAACUGGAGAGAAACACCAUCCAUAAAGAUAAUUUGAUUUAUCCAAGACAAUAUGUCUCAGAUUGGAUGACACUGUGAACAUUAAGACCUGGUUUUCUCCACCCUAAGAUACCAUCUCACUCCAGUAAGAUUGGCAGCCAUUAUGAAGUCAAACAACAAUAAGUGUUGUCGAGGAUGUGGGGGAAAGGGUACAUUUGUACAUUGCUGGUGGGACUGCAAAUUGGUGAGGCCAAUUUGGAAAGCAGUAUGGAGAUUCCUGGGAAAGCUGGGAAUGGAGCCACCAUUUGACCCAGCUAUCACCCUUCUCGGACUAUUCCCUGAGGAUCUUAAAAGAGCGUACUAUAGGGAUACUGCCACAUCAAUGAUCAUAGCGGCACAAUUCACAAUAGCUAGACUGUGGAACCAACCUAGAUGCCCUUCAAUAGAUGAAUGGAUAAAAAAAUGUGGCAUUUAUACACAAUGGAGUAUUACGCAGCACUAAAAAAUGACAAAAUCAUGGAAUUUGCAGGGAAAUGGAUGGCAUUAGAGCAGAUUAUGCUAAGCCAAGCUAGUCAAUCCUUAAAAAACAAAUGGCAAAUGUCUUCUUUGAUAUAAAGUGAGCAACUGAGAACAGAACAGGGAGGAAGAGCAUGAGGAAAAGAUUAACAUUAAACAGAGUCGAGUGGGGGUAGAGAAAGGGAGAGAGAAAGGAAAUCAUAUGGAAAUGGUAGGAGACCCUCAAUGUUACACAAAAUUACAUAUAAG